rnacentral:tRNA from 1 species
GGGCCUUUAGCUCAGCUUGGUAGAGCAGCAGACUCUUAAUCUGAAGGUCAGGGGUUCAAAUCCCCUAAGGCCCG